AGGAAAGCCAUCUGCACAACUUCCCAGAGCUCAGGCUGCUCUUGAAAUUCCAGGAGAUGAAUGUUCCCCGUACGCAGUGAGCAGCAGCAAAGACUUGCAAAGAAAUGAAGUGUUGUAUUCACUUGCAACGAGCCCAUAUGAGGACCCAAAUGCAGCCUAUUGUACAGUGGAUAACACUGCAGCAUCUGGCAAGGGGCCAGGAGAUGAAAUACAGACAGUCUAUGCAGUGGUGUCACAAUAGCUGUUCCUAGGAGCUGGAGAAUGGACGUCGGUUUCAAAAUGACUAUGACCUUUUGGCUGAUUUUAGGGGACAAAACUCAGCAUAGUAGCCUUGACUACCCAUUUUGACUAUUCAAUAAGCUAUCUUAGAAAAUAUUAUGGGGCAGAUCCUCUGCUGAUAUAAAUUCUCAUAGCUCCAUUAUGAAGCUAUGACCAUUUGCACCAGAGAAACAUAGGAAUUGUCACACUCAGACCAUUGGUUCAUUUAGUUCAGAAUCCUGUCUCCAGCAGUGGCCUUUAUCAGAUGUGUCAGAAGUAGAUGCAAGAAUCCCCAUAUUGGACAAUUAUGGGACAACUCGCUCACAGGAGAAGUUUCUUCUCAACACCUAUCAGCUAGAGAUUGGUUAUCCCCUGAAGCGAGAGGGUUUUAUAGCCCUCAUACAUCUUAUCCUAUCUAAUGUAACAUCAUCCUUAGGCCAGUGUUUCCCAAACUUGGGACGCUGCUUGUGUAGGGAAAGUCCCUGGCGGACCGGGCCAGUUUGUUUCC